rnacentral:rRNA from 1 species
UGGUGGGUAGUUUGACUGGGGCGGUCUCCUCCUAAAGAGUAACGGAGGAGCACGAAGGUUGGCUAAUCCUGGUCGGACAUCAGGAGGUUAGUGCAAUGGCAUAAGCCAGCUUGACUGCGAGCGUGACGGCGCGAGCAGGUGCGAAAGCAGGUCAUAGUGAUCCGGUGGUUCUGAAUGGAAGGGCCAUCGCUCAACGGAUAAAAGGUACUCCGGGGAUAACAGGCUGAUACCGCCCAAGAGUUCAUAUCGACGGCGGUGUUUGGCACCUCGAUGUCGGCUCAUCACAUCCUGGGGCUGAAGUAGGUCCCAAGGGUAUGGCUGUUCGCCAUUUAAAGUGGUACGCGAGCUGGGUUUAGAACGUCGUGAGACAGUUCGGUCCCUAUCUGCCGUGGGCGCUGGAGAACUGAGGGGGGCUGCUCCUAGUACGAGAGGACCGGAGUGGACGCAUCACUGGUGUUCGGGUUGUCAUGCCAAUGGCACUGCCCGGUAGCUAAAUGCGGAAGAGAUAAGUGCUGAAAGCAUCUAAGCACGAAACUUGCCCCGAGAUGAGUUCUCCCUGACUCCUUGAGAGUCCUGAAGGAACGUUGAAGACGACGACGUUGAUAGGCCGGGUGUGUAAGCGCAGCGAUGCGUUGAGCUAACC